UAGGGAAUCUUCCGCAAUGGACGCAAGUCUGACGGAGCAACGCCGCGUGAGUGAAGAAGGUUUUCGGAUCGUAAAACUCUGUUGUAAGAGAAGAACAAAUUGUAGAGUAACUGCUACAGUCUUGACGGUAUCUUACCAGAAAGCCACGGCUAACUACGUGCCAGCAGCCGCGGUAAUACGUAGGUGGCAAGCGUUGUCCGGAUUUAUUGGGCGUAAAGGGGGCGCAGGCUGCUUCUUAAGUCUGAUGUGAAAGCCCACGGCUUAACCGUGGAAGUGCAUUGGAAACUGGGAAGCUUGAGGACAGAAGAGGAAAGUGGAACUCCAUGUGUAGCGGUGGAAUGGGUAGAUAUAUGGAAGAACACCAGUGGCGAAAGCGACUUUCUGGUCUGUCACUGACGCUGAGGCCCGAAAGGGUGGGUAGCAAACAGG
rnacentral:rRNA from 1 species